GAUAAACGCUGGCGGCGUGCUUAACACAUGCAAGUCGAACGAAGUUUUUCCUUCGGGAGUAACUUAGUGGCGGCCGGGUGAGUAACGCGUGGGUAACCUGCCCUGUACAGGGGGACAACAGCUGGAAACGGAUGCUAAUACCGCAUCAGCCCUUAGCACUGCAUGGUGCAUAGGGAAAAGGAACAAUCGGCUACAGGAUGCACCCGCGCCGGUUUAGCCAGUUGGCGAGCUAACGGCGUACCAAAGCGACGAUACGUAGCCGACCUGAGAGGAUGUAAGGCCACAAGGGAAGUGAGACGCGGUCGAGAGUCGGACGGGAGGCAGAAGUAGGGAAGCUGCCGCAAUGGGCGAAAGCCUGACGGAGGAACGCGGCGUGAGUGAUGAAGGUCUUCGGAUCGUAAAACUCUGUUAUGAGGGAAGAACAUAUGUGUAAGUAACUGUGCACAGCUUGACGGUACCUAAUCAGAAAGCCACGGCUAACUACGUG
rnacentral:rRNA from 1 species